rnacentral:ncRNA from 1 species
UUUUAAAUAGGUGAUGGAGUUCACCAUAAUUGCGGAAUGCUGAUGACUCCUACAGGUAU